rnacentral:rRNA from 1 species
GAGUCCUACGGGGGGCAGCAGUGGGGGAUAUUGCACAAUGGGGGAAACCCUGAUGCAGCGACGCCGCGUGAGUGAAGAAGGCCUUCGGGUUGUAAAGCUCUUUAAUCAGGGACGAAGAAUGACGGUACCUGAAGAAUAAGCUCCGGCUAACUACGUGCCAGCAGCCGCGGUAAUACGUAGGGAGCAAGCGUUAUCCGGAUUUACUGGGUGUAAAGGGCGUGUAGGCGGGCCUGCAAGUCAGAAGUGAAAUCUGGGGGCUUAACCCCUAAACUGCUUUUGAAACUGUGGGUCUUGAGUGAUGGAGA